AUCUCAAGAAGACGUCUCCUCCCAUUGCGUUUCUUGAGUGUUCCCCUCUGGAGGUUUUGUCAGAUCGACUUUAGUCUCUGAAACCUUCAAACUUCAGCCGGACAUUUGUCCGGCUUUUUUUU
rnacentral:sRNA from 1 species